rnacentral:rRNA from 1 species
UACGUAGGGGGCUAGCGUUGUCCGGAAUCAUUGGGCGUAAAGCGCGUGUAGGCGGUCCGGUAAGUCCGCUGUGAAAGUCGAGGGCUCAACCCUCGAAUGCCGGUGGAUACUGUCGGGCUAGAGUGCGGAAGAGGCGAGUGGAGUUCCUGGUGUAGCGGUGAAAUGCGCAGAUAUCAGGAGGAACACCUAUUGCGAAGGCAGCUCGCUGGGACGUUACUGACGCUGAGACGCGAAAGCGUGGGGAGCAAACAGG